UUAUUUUACAGGUUAUUUCCGGAUGGAAACGGUGGCGCUACCAAAGAAUUUGCUUUUCUCCUAUGCGGCAGCGAUAACCGGUACAAGAAGGGUCCGUGCCAUCUCUGGCACUCCGUCGGAGAAAAAGGAUCCAGACUAUUUAUUUUACGUGUUCCUUCAUUGUCGUUGGUGUGUCGAGCUUAUGGAGGAGGUUACGAAUACCAGUUGGAGAAGACACAGUCCGUGUAAGCGAUCAAUUAUCCGCGGAGAAAAGGACAUCCGGGGCCACCUAGUCACUCAGUUCAUAACCAGUGUCGGUGCCUCAGUGGUUGGUUGGUAAAGGUUUCACACUAAAUUGAGCCGGAAGAUGUGCCCGUUAAAGAUCCGGAGAGUAUAGGCGGUUCUAACGGUGGACACCAUCCCGAACUCGUUGAAAUUUUACGUCAAUAGCCACGGAAUAACUGAUACACACCCAGUCCUCACGGGAGAGGAUUAAAAGACGAUUUUCUAUAUGAUUAAAAAUUUCGUCGUUAUUCAGCCGGGUGUGGAGGAUCCUUCCUGAUGGUCAUCAAGAUACAGUCCUGGAUCAUAAUCCGAAGCAGAUACCUUAUCGGGGAGCGGCGUUUUUCGAUAGCCAAGAUAAGUUGGUUGGUGACUAGUGCUGACAACGUUUUAUUUCAACUACAUGAUGGGUGUAGCGGCGUUUGCGGAUGGCGUUUCCAGUGUGACAGGGGGCAUGAGGCCACUUGGGCUUGGAAGAAGUGCGGUUUUGUUCCUCCGGAUGGAGGGGUUGGACCAUCGCCGCUUAGUUCGGUGGCGCUCGAGUUCCCUUUGGCGGCGCGGCAUCACACGAUGAACAAUUCCGGUGGUGCCCUAUGGGUAUUGCCGCGCCGGUCAACCAAGGGGGCCCUUCAUCGGUUAAUCCGGUUAGGGCAUCGAGUGUCGGCAACCAAAACAAGGCCGCCAGGUAAGCUUGUAUCUAACCCCAUUUAUUCAUUUGUCUUUUUAGGUUUCGUGAAGUAUUUUGAGAUGCUGACGCUGACUCCAAAGAAUUCCGGAAGAAGUCCUUAAAGGACUCCAAAAUCAAUUCCUAAUGUAUUCCAAAAAGAUCCAAAACGGAAUACUUGAAUACAAAAGCAAUCCCUAAAAGAUUCCAAAAAAUGCCUGAAGUAUUCCAGUAGAAUUUCCA